AGCGUGCGGACGUUAAGCUGGUGCUCUGGACUUUAACUUACAAACGAGGGUGUAUUUUCCCACACAUUUACCUCAGUAUACUUGGCUGGUGGACUGACUAAUCCAACCGCGAAUUCAUCUCUGCUCUCUACCUGGAUGAAUAUGGAGAUUCCGAAGUCCGCGAUGCCCCCAUGACCUCGAGGUCGCCCUCUUCCCUCCCGGCGACGAUAUGAGAAAUACCUGCUCCGCUGCGGCCAGAGUUCAUCGCAUCUACUUAGACGGUAUCUACAUCUCCACCACAUCUGCACAAUACCUUCUCCGCCCACUAUGAAGUAUUUGAUGGUGGCAGUUCUCGUGGUCAGUCUGGCGGCCUCGGAAGAGGUCAUGGCCUCGUCGCAUGGCUCGGCGCAGCCCUCGCCCGUCCAGCCCCAUGCGCACUCACACAGGGCACAGGACGCCGCCGCAGCUCCGCCCGCGCACCGAAAGGAGAAGGUGCGGCACGCGCACC